CGAAAGCUCUCCUUGGUCCCCGUGUUAGUUCGGCCCUGACCGCGCUUUUGCUGUGUUCUGCGGUGCUGUUGUACCUGGAGUUCUCUCCAAUGGUUCCCUUGCGAAGAAUCCUGCAGGAAAGACACACAGAUGAUCAGACUGCAGAUGAUACAGUGGCCUCCUCUUCAGAGGACACACUGAAAUUCUACCUGAUCCUGCUGCCUGACAACACGGUGUGUUUUCUAACAUGAUUGGGAAACUUGUCAACAUCGAAGUAGGUGUGUGAUGAACAGAAAGGUAACCUGAGCGGCUUGCCCAGUUUAAGAUGACUUAAACACAGCUGCAACACUCCACAAAACCAUGGGAAUGAUGAACUGUAACAUACCCCAGGUUUAAAAUGCGUUCGUCUUUCACGGGCCUUUCACCAGACUGGGACUUCAAUUUCUUUUCUUCUUGCCUGAAAAAUCAAAAAGAAGCAAUGAGAAGGCAAAAUAAUAUCAUUCCACAGAAUAAAUCCAUCUGAGCAUAUA